UACGACUACAUAUCAGGCAUAUCAAUAAGCGGAGGAAAAGAAACUAACUAGGAUUCCCUUCAGUAACGGCGAGUGAAGCGGGAAGAGCUCAAAUUUGAAAUCUUCAAGGUUUUACCUUGACGAAUUGUAGUUUAAAGAAGUGUUUUCUGUUGGAUGUUUUGGUAAAAGUUCUUUGGAAUAGGACAUCAUAGAGGGUGAGAAUCCCGUAUUUGACCAUUACUUCCAGCGUUGUGAUACACUUUCAAAGAGUCGGAUUGUUUGGGAAUGCAGUCCAAAAUGGGUGGUAAAUUUCAUCUAAAGCUAAAUAUUGGCGAGAGACCGAUAGCGAACAAGUACCGUGAGGGAAAGAUGAAAAGAACUUUGAAAAGAGAGUUAAACAGUACGUGAAAUUGUCAAAAGGGAAGCGUUUGACACCAGUGUUGUUUUCUCGAAAAUCAAUUAAAAAUAAGUUUGAUUUUGUAUUGUGAUGACUUUAUCAGCUUCCUGUACUUUUUUCUUAUUCUUUUUAAUGCACUUUUCGUUUAACAAGUCAACAUCAAUUUCUUUUGUUGUAAAAGAGUCAUUGGAAGGUGGCUUUCUUUUCGGAGAAAGUGUUUAUAGCCUUUGACUUCUGCAAUCGGAGAGAUUGAGGUCUGCAGCGUAGAUCCUUCGGGGUUAGAUGCAUUUGUGCUAAGUUAUAGCCUUUCAUAGACAACUUGUUGACUAUGAUCAGUCAUGUAGCUUACUCGCUUAUGUCAUUUUACCUACGCUUAGGAUGUUGAUCUCUCACAGUCGAGC
rnacentral:rRNA from 1 species